rnacentral:rRNA from 1 species
GACGAACGCUGGCGGCGUGCUUAACACAUGCAAGUCGAACGGGUCUGCCUUGUUUUUUGCGGGGUGGGUCAGUGGCGAACGGGUGAGUAACACGUGAGUAACCUGCCCCUCACUUCUGGAUAACCGCUUGAAAGGGUGGCUAAUACGGGGUGUUCUGGCUGUGCCGCAUGGUGUGGCUGGGAAAGAUUCACUUUUGUGGUGUUUUGGUGGGGGAUGGGCUCGCGGCCUAUCAGCUUGUUGGUGGGGUGAUGGCCUGCCAAGGCUUUGACGGGUAGCCGGCCUGAGAGGGUGGGCGGUCACACUGGGACUGAGAUACGGCCCAGACUCCUGCGGGAGGCAGCAGUGGGGGGUAUUGCACAAUGGGCGGAAGCCUGAUGCAGCGACGUCGCGUGAGGGAUGGAGGCCUUCGGGUUGUGAACCUCUUUCGCCGGUGAAGAAGGUCCUGUUCUUUGUGGUGGGGCUGACGUAGCCGGGUAUAAGCGCCGC